GCCCGGGUGGCGAAAUCGGUAGACGCAGGGGACUUAAAAUCCCCCGGUAGUAAUGCUGUGCCGGUUCAAGUCCGGCCUCGGGCACCA
rnacentral:tRNA from 1 species